rnacentral:rRNA from 1 species
AUUGAACGCUGGCGGCAGGCUUAACACAUGCAAGUCGAGCGGAGCGGCGGACGGGUGAGUAAUGUCUGGGAAACUGCCUGAUGGAGGGGGAUAACUACUGGAAACGGUAGCUAAUACCGCAUACUAUUAGAGCGGCCGAUAUCGGAUUAGCUAGUUGGUGGGGUACCGGCUCACCAAGGCGACGAUCCGUAGCUGGUUUGCGAGGACGACCAGCCACCCUGGGACUGAGACACGGCCCAGACUCCUACGGGAGGCAGCAGUGGGGAAGUUUGGACAAUGGGGGAAACCCUGAUCCAGCCAUCCCGCGUGUGCGAUGAAGGCCUUCGGGUUGUAAAGCACUUUUGGCAGGAAAGCGGUACCUGCAGAAUAAGCACCGGCUAACUACGUGCCAGCAGCCGCGGUAAUUC